CCGAGGGCAGUUCACCAUGGAGCUCAUGGAGCAGAGAACACGGGGUGGUGACCCCCAGCCCCCUCCCCCAGGAAGGGCCAGGCUGCACUCCAGCUCCCCUUCCCAAAGGCCAAGGAGGGAGGCCUGCUGUGCACAAACAGCUGCUGUUGCUGAGGAUAUCAAACGUCCUAGAGAAGAGCCUCGUUAAAGUAUAAACCUAAACUUUGUCCUCUGCAGUGCAGGUCAAAGUACCCAAUAACUAUCUGAGCUCUACCUGCUGAGCAUGACACCCUAUGGUACGUGAUAGCCCUUGGGUCAGCUGGACUCAGCUGUGCAGCCCUGGACUCCUCACUGUGAGAGAGGCAGAAGAGGCAUUGUCUCUGCUCAGCAAUAAUGAAACAUCUCUGUUAUCAACCAUUUCCAGCACAAAUCCAAACCACAGCCACACUCCAGCUACUCUGAAGAAAACGAACUCAAUCCCAGCCAAACCCAACACACCUGACAACUGGCUGCUGGAGACAAAGUCACAUCUGGCACAAUCUCCACGGUUUGGAAUAUGCAAAUUCCAAAGUGCAGUAGACAUUCCUGUGCUGUGCUGCAGUCAUGGCAAGGAGCUUACUGUGCUCAGCUCUGCCUGCAGUGACUACUUCUGGCUUGGGCCAAACAAUAAUUUGGAAAUAAAACAGUGUGAGCAGUGCAGACUUCCAAAGGACAAAGAUAACAGGGUAUAACCUCUAAUGGCUAAAAACAGUCUCAUCAUUACUAUCUCGUUAUCCAGUACUGAAAAAGCUGUUCAGAUACUUUAGGUGUUAUCUAGAGCCAAGAGAUCUUUUCUGUUUAAUUUCACCAUGUGGUGCACUGAUACUACUGAUAUGAAAAUCUUCAAGUUUUUAACUACAAAUAAUAUGUGGCUGGAUAAUGGUUUCAGUUAUGGUCAUCAAGGUCUCUGCAAAAGAAAAGCACAGACUCACUACAUCACUACACUGAUGCCCACAAGUCGGCAGGGUAUGAAUUUGUACUUUCCA